UUCCUGACGUUACAACGUUUACAACUUGAAGCAAAACAGAAUCCUUGAGUUACAGUACUUUAAAGUUGGUAAAAUGUUGCGAAUUAUUUUGGCAUUUUGUUUGUGUUUUCAAGCAGUCAUCAUUUCAGCUGACACAGCGGAAGGGCAACCUGAAUGUGUUCCUGAUCAACCAUGGUGUAUCGGAAUCGAAAAGCUCUAUUGUAAUACUUUCAGCCGUUAUAAUACAACCUGUCCUUAUGAGUGCGGUGUAUGCAGGGCUGAAUGUGAUCCUGAUGAAACAUGGUGUAGUCAAAUCGAAAAACUCCAAUGUAAUAGCUCCAUACGCGUUAAAAAAUACUGUCCUUAUAAAUGCGGUGUAUGCCAGGUUAAUUGUGUUCCUGAUAAAUCAUGGUGUAGUCGAAUCGACAAAAGGUAUUGUGAUAGCUCCAGAAGCGUUAAAAUAGACUGUCUUCAUAAGUGCGGUGUAUGCAAGGUUGAAUGUGAUCCUGAUAAAACAUGGUGUAGUCUAAUCGAACAACACCAUUGUGAUAUUGUCAACAGCUAUAAAAAAGACUGUGGUUUUAGGUGUGGUGUAUGCAAGGCCGAUUAAUUCACCAGAUGAUGUGUGUGAACAACUCCAAGCUGUCUUAUGUUUGUCUCGGAACAUAAAUUAUCAUAAAUAUAUUCUUAUUACUAAAUUUUAAAUUUCAAUCAGUAUUUCUUUUAUUCAAAAUGUAUAUCUAUCCUACAUUAAAGUUACAAAAGGACAUUAUUAUAUAAAUUUCAACUAAUAACCAAUGACUGUAAUUGGU